rnacentral:lncRNA from 1 species
CACAGUGCUGCAUUUUCACCAGACUAGCCCAAACAUAAACUGUAAAUACAAAUGUAAAUACAAUCCCUGGCUUUAUAAGUGCUGUGUAGAUGGGUGCACACCCGCACUGUCCUCCAGCAGAGCUCUCCAUCCCAUGGCAGUGUUUGUAAAAACCUCCCUGCAGAGGCCUGAGCACUGCACUGAACUGCGGAUCUCUGCAAGCAGGGAAAGUCUCAAAUAGAUCCAGACCCUGCAGGAUAAAGACAAGAUGCCUCCCAAACCUAGGAAGAGGCAUCCACUCUGCAGCCUCACUGCGACAGCUGGGCUCUUGGCACAGUAUUCACAUCCCAAGUGAGAACAAGUCCAGCUCAGAGACAAGCAUGAUAUCCCCAAAGCCUUUUUUCUGCCUCCGAGUGACAAACUGAAAAGGCUGUUCCCAUUUGCAGAGAAGACCUUCACUUUAGAAUGAAUGCAGAUGCACUUCAAGGGCCUUUUCCCAAAGAAGCUCUGCAGCUCCCGGGAGAUGCCUUUUGACAGUGGGUACGAAGUCUGGGAGCGCUCCUUACCCCCCACAGCUGUCCCAGCGAGCAGCAGCAGAGCAUGCCUUGGUCGGGCUCCCCUUCCCUUCACUUGCUGCAACCAGAUUUGCUUCCAGACCCCACCUUUGUUUUCUCAAGCAACACAGCUGAGUGUUCACGGAAGCCCACUCCAGCUCAAUAGACUGAUCACCAGAUCCAAUUCCCGAUUAUCUGAAGAUGCGCGGCUGCUUUGUCUGUACGCUGACCCAAGCCACAAACCUGCCACUUAAAAAAGAUUUGUUAAUGAGAUUUCAGUGCCACUGAACCCUUAGCAUUUCUUUUUGCCUAUAAACUUUUUAUUGUCCUACCGUAGUGAGGAAAACGGCUGUGUUUGUCUCGGAAUGAAAAAUACUGCCCUUCGAAUAAAUAGCUGAUUAACAAAAAAAAAAAAAAAAAA